rnacentral:lncRNA from 12 species
CAGCCUUGCCCCUUAGCAGGUCACAGCUAUGUCCAAUGAGCACGGGUGUUAUAAAAGAGUGGGUUAGCUGGCUGAGGUUUAGUUGGAGUCUGCUGGGCAUGCUGCGAGGAGGAGGAGGAUCAGGCAGUUGUGCAAGGGACUGAAAGGGUAAAGUGUUGUGUGAGGGACGGAAGGAGUUGGCCAGUCCUGCAGAAGGAAGAGAGAAAGAGUCAGAGUUGCAUGGAGCAGCCCAUGGGAAGUUUACAGAGAGAAGCCAAAGUCACUUGGAGUGCAACCAGGUGACCCAGCUGUGUUUGGAAGGACUCAUGGAAGCUGGAGGGAAAUGAUGGGCUUGGAGGGGUGCAAGUGGAGCCUGCCCAAGCUCCCCUGCUGUCUGUCACCCCGGGGCAGUGAGCACCACGACUCCAGUGCUGGUGGCAGAACUGCAG